GUGAGGAAAAGCGCUUCGGCGCUGCUCGAGGAUGAGCCUGCGGCUGAUUAGUUAGUUGGUGGGGUAACGGCCUACCAAGGCGACGAUCAGUAGCCGGCCUGAGAGGGUGAGCAGCCACACUGGGACUGAGAUACGGCCCAGACUCCUACGGGAGGCAGCAGCUAAGAAUCUUCUACAAUGGACGAAAGUCUGAUAGAGCGACGCCGCGUGGGUGAUGAAGGCCGGAAGGUUGUAAAGCCCUUUUCUAUUCGAGGAAUAAGGUGUGGAGGCAAUGCCACACUGAUGACGGUAGGGUAGGAAUAAGCCCCGGCCAAUUACGUGCCAGCAGCCGCGGUAACACGUAUGGUGCGAGCGUUGUUCGGAAUCAUUGGGCGUAAAGGGCGCGUAGGCGGAUAUGCAAGCUUGGUGUGAAAGACCGCAGCUCAACUGCGGGAGCGCGCUGAGAACUGCAUAUCUUGAGUUCAAGAGGGGGAGCUGGAAUUCCAGGUGUAGGGGUGAAAUCUGUAGAUAUCUGGAAGAACAUCAGUGGCGAAGGCGAGCUUCUGGCUUUGAACUGACGCUGAGGCGCGAAAGCGUGGGGAGCGAACAGGAUUAGAUACCCUGGUAGUCCACGCUGUAAACGAUGUGCACUAGGUGUUGGGCCGUUGAAGGCUCAGUGCCGUAGCUAACGCGUUAAGUGCACCGCCUGGGGAGUAUGCUCGCAAGAGUGAAACUCACAGGAAUUGACGGGGGGCCCGCACAAACCGGGGGAGCUUGUGGUUUAAUUCGAUGAUACGCGAGCAACCUUACCGGGGCUUGAAAUAUACAGGAAUGCGCAUGAGAGUGCGCAGCCCUUCGGUGCUCAGUACUACAGCUGCUGCAUGGUUGUCGUCAUGCUCCUCCCAUGAGUUGGUGGGUUAUACUCCCGCGACGAGCACAACCCCUGUUGUCUGUCACGCAGCAUGUAGGAGUGGGGACAUCACGACAAGACUCCCGGUCACACACCGGAAGGAAGGUGGGCAAGAUCUCAAUGUCUAUCAGUGCCCUAUAUGCUCUUGGGAUACACACGUGUAACAAUGCCCGGUACAAAGCGAAGCGAAACCGCGAGGUGGAGCAAAACGCAGAAAGCUGGUCUCAGUUCGGAUCGGAGUCUG
rnacentral:rRNA from 1 species